rnacentral:tRNA from 1 species
UUGAUGGAAACCAAAAAGAGGUAUAUCACUGUUAAUGAUAAAACUGAGUUCUUACUCCCAUCAAG